UGAAUUAUAAAUAAAUAAAAGUUAUUUUGAUAUUUUUUCAUCACAAAUGUUUCAUCUUCUAAUGAACUCCUGUGUUGUAGUGAAGUCCUUAGGACUAUUUAGACUCGACAAAGGAGGAUUUGUCGUUUAGUCCUUAAACAUGUUCGCGACCAAAUGAUACGUUGUUACCAAGGACGACAAUAUUUAUCGAGUAUAGGUCGUUGUGUGUCAUAUGGGUUGGUUGUCCUCAUAA
rnacentral:lncRNA from 1 species